ACGGGAGGCAGCAGUGGGGAAUAUUGGACAAUGGGGGAAACCCUGACCCAGCGACGCCGCGUGAGUGAAGAAGUAUUUCGGUAUGUAAAGCUCUAUCAGCAAGGAAGAAAAUGACGGUACUUGACUAAGAAGCCCCGGCUAACUACGUGCCAGCAGCCGCGGUAAUACGUAGGGGGCAAGCGUUAUCCGGAUUUACUGGGUGUAAAGGGAGCGUAGACGGCAUAGCAAGUCUGAAGUGAAAUGCAUGGGCUCAACCCAUGAACUGCUUUGGAAACUGUUAAGCUAGAGUGCAGGAGAGGUAAGUGGAAUUCCUAGUGUAGCGGUGAAAUGCGUAGAUAUUAGGAGGAACACCAGUGGCGAAGGCGGCUUACUGGACUGUAACUGACGUUGAGGCUCGAAAGCGUGGGGAGCAAACAGGAUUAGAUACCCUGGUA
rnacentral:rRNA from 1 species